rnacentral:rRNA from 1 species
UAGUCCACGCCGUAAACGAUGAGAACUAGAUGUUGGGAGGAAUAGCCUCUCGGUGUCGCAGCUAACGCAUUAAGUUCUCCGCCUGGGGAGUACGCCGGCAACGGUAAAACUCAAAGGAAUUGACGGGGACCCGCACAAGCGGUGGAACAUGUGGUUUAAUUCGAUGCAACGCGAAGAACCUUACCUGCCCUUGACAUACUCGGAACUUUUCAGAGAUGAAUUGGUGCCUUCGGGAACCGAGAUACAGGUGCUGCAUGGCUGUCGUCAGCUCGUGUCGUGAGAUGUUGGGUUAAGUCCCGCAACGAGCGCAACCCUUGUCCUUAGUUGCCAGCACGUAAUGGUGGGAACUCUAAGGAGACCGCCGGUGACAAACCGGGAGGAAGGUGGGGACGAGGGUCAAGUCAUCAUGCCCCUUAUGGCCAGGGGCUGGCACGCAUGCUACAAUGGCAGGGUACAA